rnacentral:rRNA from 1 species
GCCUACGGGGCGCAGCAGUGGGGAAUAUUGCACAAUGGGGGAAACCCUGAUGCAGCGACGCCGCGUGAGUGAAGAAGUAAUUCGUUACGUAAAGCUCUAUCAGCAGGGAAGAAAUACUGACCUUACGGUCAGCAGACGGUACCUGAGUAAGAAGCCCCGGCUAACUACGUGCCAGCAGCCGCGGUAAUACGUAGGGGGCAAGCGUUAUCCGGAUUUACUGGGUGUAAAGGGAGCGCAGGCGGUGCGGCAAGUCUGAUGUGAAAGCCCGGGGCUCAACCCCGGGACUGCAUUGGAAACUACCGAAC